rnacentral:lncRNA from 1 species
GGGACAGGGAGCUCUUUCACACCACACGCACACACACACACACACACACACAAUGCAUCCCUAUACACACAGAAACACAACAUGCUUCCCUUACACACAGAGAAACACACAAUGCAACCCUUACACAUAAAGACAAUGCAUCCUUUGCACAUAAACACAGAAACACACAAUGCAUCCCUUACACACACAUGCAAACACACACUGCUUCUCUUACACACACACACAGAAACACAAUGCAUC